rnacentral:tRNA from 1 species
GCGCCCGUAGCUCAGUUGGAUAGAGUAGCUGGCUUCGAACCAGUCGGCCGCAGGUUCGAGUCCUGCCGGGCGCG